UUACCCACGACCCGUGUGGAAACGACGUCGUUUUCCUUCAUAGGUUUUAUUCCCAAAAUUGCCCAGAAACGACGUCGUUUUCUUUGUGUUUAAAAUCUCAAAAUCGAAUUGGGGUUUAGGGUUCAUAUUCACUUCUCAAAUUGAAGAAACUAUGAGCACCACGAGCUACUACUAAUCUGCUUCAAGUCCGACACAUCAUUUUUCUCCUCCUGGUGUUCCAUCGAAAUGCUGGUGUGGAGCGUCAAUCAUCACUUACACAUCAAAGACGAAGGAAAAUCCAAGCCGGAGAUUCUAUCGAUGUGCAAUUGCAUUGCAGAGAGAAAAUGAAGAUCACUUGUUCAAAUGGGUUGAUGAAGCUCUCUUAGACGAAAUUAGGAUGGUCGAGGAGAAUUGUAAGAGAGUUGAAGA